GGGACAACCCGCCGAAAGGCGGGCUAAACCCGCGUACAUGCCACCGGGGCAUCCCGGAGGCAGGAAAGGCUUCGGCCGGACAGGGAUGGGCAUGCGGCGCAUUAGGCAGUAGGCGGGGUAACGGCCCACCUAACCGACGAUGCGUAGGGGUUCUGAGAGGAAGGUCCCCCACACUGGUACUGAGACACGGACCAGACUCCUACGGGAGGCAGCAGUGAGGAAUAUUGGUCAAUGGUCGGGAGACUGAACCAGCCAAGCCGCGUGAGGGAUGAAGGUACAGAGUAUCGUAAACCUCUUUUGUCAGGGAACAAAGGCGGGGACGUGUCCCCGGAUGAGUGUACCUGGAGAAAAAGCAUCGGCUAACUCCGUGCCAGCAGCCGCGGUAAUACGGAGGAUGCGAGCGUUAUCCGGAUUUAUUGGGUUUAAAGGGUGCGCAGGCGGUCUGUUAAGUCAGCGGUCAAAGCCCGGGGCUCAACCCCGGCCCGCCGUUGAAACUGGCAGUCUCGAGUUGGAGAGAAGUAUGCGGAAUGCGCGGUGUAGCGGUGAAAUGCAUAGAUAUCGCGCAGAACUCCGAUUGCGAAGGCAGCAUGCCGGCUCCACACUGACGCUGAGGCACGAAAGCGUGGGUAUCGAACAGGAUUAGAUACCCUGGUAGUCCACGCAGUAAAC
rnacentral:rRNA from 1 species